GUUAAAUACAUAGGGGAGAAAUAUUGCAAUUUAUGGUGAGACUGCUGAUGGUUUGGAGGAUGACGGCAGCCUGGAGCAGGAGCGUUUACUCGCUGUGCCUAUGGUAGUGGCGGCGACGAUGGCGCGUAUGGUAGUGGCGGCGGCCAGGACGUGCCCUCGGCGAUCUCGACAUCCAAGUCAAGGAUUGGCGGCGCAAGAACGAUGGCGCUGCAGGGGAUCGAACCAGAGGAAUGUGAUCCAUCCUGUCAAGAUCGGUUUCUGCGUGUGGGUCUGACGAAACACCAUCAAGAGAUAGCUGAAUGUUUCAACCAAAGGGGUGUGUCUUUAAUUUUCCUUUUAAGAAGAAAGAAAACUUCUGCAGCAAAAUACCAGGAAACUAAAUGGAACUCAUAAAGCUCAGGAGCAUAAUGGACGCCAGGUUCACCUUUUUUUCCUUUUCUUGGUCAUACUCACAGCCCAGGGUGUGAUAAAUUUCAUCAAGGAAAAUAAUGACUCAAUAUCACAGCCAGCCAAUUCACUUCAUGCUAGAUUUACAAUUUAGUUGAUACAAAAAGGCAAUGCUGUUUAUUUAUGACCUAACACUAGCAGUUAACCCAUUUUAUUCGGCUUAUGAGCAGUAUCAGUACACUAUGUAAUAAAUGAAACAUUAUGUGUUUUUCUAGCAGACCCGAAAUAACAAACUUAGUGAAGAUCCUAAAAGCAAUAAUGGAAUGAUUUGUAAGGAAAUCUAACCAAACAAACAAACAUAACCAAACUUGUCUCAUUUUAUAGCAUUUAGAUAAUGUAAAACAUUGUACAAUUGGUAUUGUACAACU